UGAACAAUUUAUACUAUGUAAUUGACAAAUUUUCAACGUUUUAAUAAUAAAUAAUAAUUAACAACAUUGCCUAGAAUAUCGUUUGAAUAGUGUUGUUUUUUGGUUCAUUUUGACAAUCCGUUGUUUGAUCAAAAUCGUACAGAAUUGUGUUCCCAAAAAGGUACGUAUCGUAAACGUACGGAAUCGUGCUUUACUAGUUUUUUUGUGUUACCUACAACUUUUAUUGAUUACUUUUUAUAUUACAGUUAUAGGUUAAAGGAUAAUCGUGUUGAAAGUGCUAGGUGUCCCCCGCCCGGCGUUGCCAGUGCCAUUU